GGGGAUACCAGGAGGGGAGUCUUUGGGGUGUCACCAGAACAGUCCAGUUCCUUGGCAGAUUUUUCACCAGCAGUGAGCUGGGCACAGAGGUUGGGGUUUGGCCCUCUAAACACCUGGGUGUAGAGGUCCAGCCUCUGGUUACUUGGUCUUCACAGCGCCCCCCACCUUCUGAGCUACUCAAGAGAUGGGGGACAGUAGCAGUACUGCCAAGAACAGUUGUGCAAGUUGCGCACUGCACAAGCAUGCCAGACAGAGGCUAGAGCAGAAGCUAACAUCAUCUGUUCCCCUCACCACACAUUGCAUCUGCCCAGAGGAAGAGGUGCCGUGCUGGGCAGUGAAUGAAUGAACCUUGCCCUGGGGUUAACACUCCAGUGGGAUGAACAGACAAACCCCACAAGCACUGCAUACGAUGAGAAAAGUUGGAGCUGGAGAAAGACCGUGUUCCUCGUGUUCUGUGAGACCUGGGAAGGCUGCUAAAACCCAGGGAGCAGGAGUUCUCCUCCCUCCAUCCUUAUCCACAGUCUGGGUCCCAUCCAGACCCUCCUCUCCAAACCGGGGGUUUGCGACAAAGCAGGUGAGGGAGGCAUUUCAUUCCAGAGCAGAAGAAGGGGUUUCCUCCCCCAUCCCACUCCCGUUUCAUUUUUAAGGGGAAAAGCAGCUCCCCAUACGGUGAGGCAAUGAGGCGGACCAGCAGGUUCCCGGGGAUCUCUGCAGCCCCGUUGCCAUAACAACCGAACUCACUCGCAGCCUCUGAUAGGGGAGUCAGCUGGGACCACAGCUUGGGCAGGAAAGGGAUGAGGGAGUAGGAAAGAAACUUCAAGAUCAACCACUGGCCCUCACACCGAGCUGCGCACACCCCAAGGCCAAGGGAGGCUGGAAACCCUUGUCAUCCUUGGGAAAUGGGGGAGGGCACUGGUACCCCUGGGACCUCCCUCCUGAAUCUGGGCAGCUUUAAACAUUUUUUUUCCAACUUUGGAAGACAGUUGUACAACCUCGAAGGAGAGGAGGUGUCACGAUUCACAAAGCGUAUGGAUCACACAUGGCUCUAGGGGACAUUCUCUUUGCUCUGUUUUAUUUUGAGAUAGGGUCUUGCUCUAUUGCCCAGGCUGGAGUCCAGUGGCAUGAUCACACCUUACU